UACAUGGGGUGCAAACGUUGCUCGGAAUUAUUGGGCGUAAAGCGCACGUAGGCGGCCUCUGCAAGUCGACUGUGAAAUCUCCGGGCUUAACCCGGAAAGGUCAGCCGAUACUGCAGGGCUAGAGUGCAGAAGGGGCAACUGGAAUUCUCGGUGUAGCGGUGAAAUGCGUAGAUAUCGAGAGGAACACCUGCGGCGAAGGCGGGUUGCUGGGCUGACACUGACGCUGAGGCGCGAAAGCUAGGGGAGCGAACGGG
rnacentral:rRNA from 1 species